rnacentral:lncRNA from 1 species
UGGGGAGACAUAUGCCUGUAGCUAGAAUGACAGAACCGAGGCAAUUAGCAAAAUAAAAAUACAAUUACUAACAAGUUAAAAAGACUUCUAUCUAUCCCCACUGAACAAAAUAAUCACCUACAAGUAUGAGCCAGUAUCUCAUUAUGCCCACGAGCCACUACUUUUUCUUUCUUCAUUUUCUUUUCCUUUUACUUAAGGAAAUGAAAAGCAACAGUUUUGAUAUCUGUGAAGCUAAGGUCAC